AUACAUACGAUUACAAUUUAUAAGCGUUAUUCUAGAAGCUAUUAAAAAAGUAAUAAUUUUUAGAUAAAUGGGC
rnacentral:tRNA from 1 species